rnacentral:rRNA from 1 species
AAGGACAUGUGGAGCGCUUAGAAGUGAGAAUGCCGGUGUGAGUAGCGAAAGACGGGUGAGAAUCCCGUCCACCGAUUGACUAAGGUUUCCAGAGGAAGGCUCGUCCGCUCUGGGUUAGUCGGGUCCUAAGCUGAGGCCGACAGGCGUAGGCGAUGGAUAACAGGUUGAUAUUCCUGUACCACCUAUAAUCGUUUUAAUCGAUGGGGGGACGCAGUAGGAUAGGCGAAGCGUGCGAUUGGAUUGCACGUCUAAGCAGUAAGGCUGAGUAUUAGGCAAAUCCGGUACUCGUUAAGGCUGAUCUGUGAUGGGGAGAAGACAUUGUGUCUUCGAGUCGUUGAUUUCACACUGCCGAGAAAAGCCUCUAGAUAGAAAAUAGGUGCCCGUACCGCAAACCGACACAGGUAGUCAAGAUGAGAAUUCUAAGGUGAGCGAGCGAACUCUCGUUAAGGAACUCGGCAAAAUGACCCCGUAACUUCGGGAGAAGGGGUGCUCUUUAGGGUUAACGCCCAGAAGAGCCGCAGUGAAUAGGCCCAAGCGACUGUUUAUCAAAAACACAGGUCUCUGCUAAACCGUAAGGUGAUGUAUAGGGGCUGACGCCUGCCCGGUGCUGGAAGGUUAAGAGGAGUGGUUAGCUUCUGCGAAGCUACGAAUCGAAGCCCCAGUAAACGGCGGCCGUAACUAUAACGGUCCUAAGGUAGCGAAAUUCCUUGUCGGGUAAGUUCCGACCCGCACGAAAGGCGUAACGAUUUGGGCACUGUCUCAACGAGAGACUCGGUGAAAUCAUAGUACCUGUGAAGAUGCAGGUUACCCGCGACAGGACGGAAAGACCCCGUGGAGCUUUACUGUAGCCUGAUAUUGAAAUUCGGCACAGCUUGUACAGGAUAGGUAGGAGCCUUUGAAACGUGAGCGCUAGCUUACGUGGAGGCGCUGGUGGGAUACUACCCUAGCUGUGUUGGCUUUCUAACCCGCACCACUUAUCGUGGUGGGAGACAGUGUCAGGCGGGCAGUUUGACUGGGGCGGUCGCCUCCUAAAAGGUAACGGAGGCGCUCAAAGGUUCCCUCAGAAUGGUUGGAAAUCAUUCAUAGAGUGUAAAGGCAUAAGGGAGCUUGACUGCGAGACCUACAAGUCGAGCAGGGUCG